rnacentral:rRNA from 1 species
UGAGGAAUAUUGCACAAUGGGCGAAAGCCUGAUGCAGCAACGCCGCGUGAGGGACGAAGGCCCUCGGGUCGUAAACCUCUUUUCUGGGGGAAGAGACAGGACGGUACCUCAGGAAUAAGUCUUGGCUAACUACGUG